UACGGAGGGAGCUAGCGUUGUUCGGAAUUACUGGGCGUAAAGCGCGCGUAGGCGGCUUUGUAAGUUAGAGGUGAAAGCCCGGGGCUCAACCCCGGAACUGCCUUUAAGACUGCAUCGCUGGAAUCCGGGAGAGGUGAGUGGAAUUCCGAGUGUAGAGGUGAAAUUCGUAGAUAUUCGGAAGAACACCAGAGGCGAAGGCGACUCGCUGGACAGGUAUUGACGCUGAGGUGCGAAAGCGUGGGGAGCAAACAGG
rnacentral:rRNA from 1 species